UAUUAACCAUUACCUAGAACGCUGUAUCAAUUAGUUUACCGAUAUCGAGAGAAAGCGAUUAGUUCUGCAAAUAGUUGCACUACAUUUUUCAGUGGGAGUUUACAAAUUUGAAAAGAAACAGUAUAACACAAUUCAAACGGUUUACCUAUAAGAUGCAGAUUCAACAAAUUCAAGAUAUACAACUUCAUCCUGGUAAAGCAAAUUUUGAUAUCAAAGGUUGCACACUAAAUGGCGACAAACUUCUAUUUACCGACAAAGGUAAUAGUCGGAUAAUAAUACACAAUGCAACAGGCCGACACGUUGAAGACAUUCCUCUUUCAGCAGAACCAUUCGAUAUUACAACCAUAGAUGCUGAUAGUGUAGCCGUCACUUUUGGUAGGAAGCAGUAUUUUGAAAUUAUAAAUAUCAAUACCAAAGCCGUUACUAAAAUACCAGCUGACGGAAACAGCUGGGGAAUUACGUGUGAGAAUGGAAAUUUGUACAUGAUCGUCGACGGCCAUGGAAUCAAUGUCGCCAUUAUGACGCCAUCAGGGGAACCUAUAAAAAAGAUACCGGUCAGCACAGACUUUGACCAAACAGAAUAUAUGGCAGUUAUCGGAAACAGCAUUUUUUUCACAGUAUUUAUCCCUAAAAACCUUGUAUGCAUGGAUAUACAUGGUGCUAUCCAAUGGCAGUUUAAAAAGAGCAUUUUUAACCAGCCAAGGGGAAUAACUACUGACACUCUUGGAAACAUUUUUGUCGCAGGAUUUGCUUCACAUAACGUGAUUGCUGUACAGAAAAGUGGAAGCGAGGGUAGUGAGAUUCUCAAUAAGAAUGAGGGAUUAGACUAUCCCACAUCCAUUUAUUGUGACAAGAUGAAUAACAGGUUGCUAGUUAGUAAUUUGAACAACGGACUUGCAUAUUUGUUCAACAUAGUUUAUAACUAGAACAUGUAAUAUAAAUAAUGAGCUUCCUGUAUAGCUGACUGGAUGUCUUUGUAUUGUUUUCAUUUUAAUUUUAUGUAUUUAAAUGUAUAUUGUUGUCUUUGUUUUAUAAUUAACAAUUUUCAAUUAAUUGGA